rnacentral:rRNA from 1 species
AACGAACGCUGGCGGCAGGCUUAACACAUGCAAGUCGAGCGAGACCUUCGGGUCUAGCGGCGGACGGGUGAGUAACGCGCGGGAACGUGCCCUUCUCUACGGAAUAGCCCCGGGAAACUGGGAGUAAUACCGUAUACGCCCUUUGGGGGAAAGAUUUAUCGGAGAAGGAUCGGCCCGCGUUGGAUUAGGUAGUUGGUGGGGUAAUGGCCCACCAAGCCGACGAUCCAUAGCUGGUUUGAGAGGAUGAUCAGCCACACUGGGACUGAGACACGGCCCAGACUCCUACGGGAGGCAGCAGUGGGGAAUCUUAGACAAUGGGGGCAACCCUGAUCUAGCCAUGCCGCGUGAGUGAUGAAGGCCUUAGGGUUGUAAAGCUCUUUCAGCUGGGAAGUUAAUGACGGUACCAGCAGAAGAAGCCCCGGCUAACUCCGUG